rnacentral:rRNA from 1 species
AUUGAACGCUGGCGGCAUGCCUUACACAUGCAAGUCGAACGGUAACGGGCCUUCGGGUGCCGACGAGUGGCGAACGGGUGAGUAAUACGUCGGAACGUGCCCGAUCGUGGGGGAUAACGAGGCGAAAGCUUUGCUAAUACCGCAUACGAUCUACGGAUGAAAGCAGGGGACCGCAAGGCCUUGCGCGGACGGAGCGGCCGAUGGCAGAUUAGGUAGUUGGUGGGAUAAAAGCUUACCAAGCCGACGAUCUGUAGCUGGUCUGAGAGGAUGAUCAGCCACACUGGGACUGAGACACGGCCCAGACUCCUACGGGAGGCAGCAGUGGGGAAUUUUGGACAAUGGGCGCAAGCCUGAUCCAGCCAUGCCGCGUGCAGGAUGAAGGCCUUCGGGUUGUAAACUGCUUUUGUACGGAACGAAAAGCCUUCUUCUAAUACAGGAGGGUCAUGACGGUACCGUAAGAAUAAGCACCGGCUAACUACGCGCCAGCAGCCGCGGUAA